ensembl:lncRNA
UUGGAUUCUAAACCGGUUUCACUGCUCCCGGGAUUGCCUUGCGAGGCAUUACAGAGAAGACUGUUGCAAAGGGAUCGUUCUCAACCAACACGAGCCUUUUCUUGGGAAACAGUUGCUGCUACCUCCUAUACUCUUCAUUUUGCUGGUACGCGGGCGAAAGACGUGUGAGGAAAGUACAGACAACCCUUAGCUAAGAGACACGAGAAAAAUAGAGGGCAAGUGGAGAGAGAGAGCUGAAAGUGAAAACAAAGCCGGCAAGCAACCUUCUGGACUACAUUACCCACUUGCCCCUCAAGCCCGCCUCCCUCCGGGCUUGUGUUUAUACUGAUUGGGGNGUCGCCUUCCCAGUUUUGCCUCCUGGUCCUUCGCGAUUGGCUGGGCCUGGCCGCCGCUCGGCGUUGCCACAGAGACGCGCCGCGAAGCCCAGAAAAAAAGGAGGCGCUAGGACCGCAGCGGAUAGCGCGGCAGGCAGCUGCCGUAGCAGCUGCCGCUGCCGUCUCUCUGCGAUGCUCGGUCCCUUCGCCGGAGCUUGCAGAGGCGAGACCGGGACUAGCAAGGUGAGCGGAGGGCUGGGCGGCGCGCGCGCGGGUUGGCAGGCUGGCAUCCUACCUCUAGGGGGAGGAGCGGAGCUGUGCAUGCCCUUGUUUGCUCCUUAGGGGAUCCCGGCGGUACCCCUCCCGUGUCGGCGCUUGGGGAUGGGAUGCGCGGGUUUGGCAGGGCAGCUUGCGAGGAUCCUGUCCCGUCGCGUUGCUGCCACAGUGCAGACGGUGGCUAAGCUGCUUCGCGAUCAGUGGCCAAUUUAUUAAGACUGGGUGAGCGGGCGGGCCGGUGGGAGAAAACCAAACUACAAUAAUGCAGUAAAUGCUCAAUGCACUGUUAGGAAACAAAAAUACAUUUUUAACAGAACUUAUUUUGAAUCCACCGUUAAUAACCAGGCAGCAAUCAUGUUCGAUUCCCCGCCUCCCCCGCCCCAGAGCAGGUAUCUCAGGAGUUCCUUUCGGCAAAGGAAAUGGCACCAGCUGUGCAAUCCUGACCCGGGCGCGCUCCGAAGUGCUUGUUCCCAGAAAAAUGAUGUCAGGAGCGCUGCACCCUGAUCGAGUCGUCCAGGAUAAAGGACCGCACCGAAUGGACACCCCUGGCGGACGGGGUGGGCACAGCAAUAUUUUGUGCCUAAGUGAAAAGGCUGAGCCAACUGCUAUUUAGCCAACCAGUGGGAGGAAGAAGAUGCGACUGAUGAAGAAGUGACAUGAGACCCUGGUGGAAGAUAUGUUCAAAUACAUGCACAUGCCCUUGCGUGCAUACAACAAGCUUCUGGGCACAUCUAAGGUAGCAGUUGCCACACUGGUACUACAACACCCAUCACCCCUGGUUAGAAUAAUUGAUCCCUUAGGGAGUUGUAAUCCAAAGCUCAGAAAAAAGAAAGGGUAAUGGUGCCCUUCACUCCUGGUGAACACCAUGGAUAUAUCCACCCUGUUUUCUUGAGCGUGAUCUGGCCAUAUGACAUCUGUCACACCAUCGAUCACCAGUUUUGAUUCAUCUGAUCUGACUAGGUAGGUCUGUGUCCCUUUCUUCCCUUCCUGUUUUUUGUGCAUCCCUCCCAAAACUGUGUGCUUGGUGGAAGAGGACAUCUAUCCUAGGUAGCCACUGGAGGGGAUAAAAAAGUGAAAGGAGGUUGAACAGGAGCUUCAACCUGACUGACAAGUCCAAUCAUGGGUUGCUGCUUUGCUGACCCAUUCCCUGGUUGCACCAGCUUACUGUUGUACCAGAUGUCUCACACUUACCUGGUAAAUCCAGCUUUCAUUUGGGCUAGCCAUUUACCUGGCUCCUGCUAGCAUAAUACCAACUCAGUUGCCCAUAUUUGCAGCCAUAAAAGGUGGUGUGUGGCUGGAAAAUGGUACGAGAGAAUGGGCAAGCUGAAAGUCUUCCAGGAGGCUAGAACAGGGAAAAUGCUACCUUGUCCAAAAGAGUUGGCAUUUUCCCUCAUGAUUUGGGUGUUGUCCUAGAUGGGAAGAGUCCUUGUUGGUCCAUCAAGGCUAUAUGAUAGCUGCUCCGUCCUCCUGGGGGUUACUAGAGAUUUUACCUGAAACCUUUUCUGUGUAAAGCAGAUGCUCAAAUGCUGAGCUCAAGCUGGUCCUACAGAUAUCUGAAGCAGCUCUUGCAUUAAGCAGUUGGCUUUGCAUGCAAUAGGAUUUGUUCAUUAUAUUUUUAUCCUGCCCUAUGCCUGAUGGUCUCGGGGCAGUUUUCAAUUAAAAUAUAGCCGUUCAAACUGUAAAAUUAAAAGGUACAAGACCAGGUUGCUGUAGCGUACUGUGAGUGUUGGUUCCCUCAGUGCAAAAUUCUUGUGUCUCUGAGCACUGCUGUCUGAUAAGCUUUCUCAUGACCUGGCGCACUGAAAGAAGGGACUUUGUGCGGCAUCCAUGGAGACACAAGGUUUGCAGCUGGCCAGGAGCAAAGAUGUGUGGCGGUCUGCAUGGGUGGGGUUCCAGUAACCACUAAGCUGGAGAAAGCACCACAUCAUAUGGGACUUCACUGCUUGAGCGCAGAGAUGUGCAAAAUUUAUUUUACAUUCAAACAUUUGAUUGAACGUUUUGCAUCUGCAGAUAUUUGCAUUGAAUAAAAAAUGGGCUUUUUCGCA